GGAAUAUUGGACAAUGGGCGCAAGCCUGAUCCAGCCAUGCCGCGUGAGUGAUGAAGGCCCUAGGGUUGUAAAGCUCUUUCACCGGUGAAGAUAAUGACGGUACCCGGAGAAGAAGCCCCGGCUAACUUCGUGCCAGCAGCCGCGGUAAUACGGAGGGAGCUAGCGUUGUUCGGAAUUACUGGGCGUAAAGCGCGCGUAGGCGGCUUUUCAAGUCAGGGGUGAAAUCCCGGGGCUCAACCCCGGAACUGCCCUUGAAACUGGAUGGCUAGAAUACUGGAGAGGUGAGUGGAAUUCCGAGUGUAGAGGUGAAAUUCGUAGAUAUUCGGAAGAACACCAGUGGCGAAGGCGACUCACUGGACAGUUAUUGACGCUGAGGUGCGAAAGCGUGGGGAGCAAACAGG
rnacentral:rRNA from 1 species